GGCUUGUUGCCUAUCUAGUAAGCUGCUUUUCUGUGUCCCCACUCAGGUUCCAAACUCCAUACUCCACAUAUUGAUGAUUUUAGGAGUGUCCAGCAUUCACUGCCAAGAAAUGAAGAGAUACUAGAAUGAGAAAUAGCUGAUAGUUUCAUUUUCUUUUUCUUCUUCUUGGAAAUGCACAGAAUUCUCAAAAACAACGAGACCCAUGAAAUUUAGUGAUUGACCAACACACACUUAGAAGUAAUGGACGGAUGUCAGAGAGUGUAUAAAUUUGGCAGAAAUGCAUUGAACCUGCUGCUUUUCCAUGAAGAAGCCGGGUUGGGCUGCUAGUGAAGAGACUGAAGCACACAGGAGCGUGGUUUCGCAGCUGAACUUCAGGGAACACAGACACCAGAAACAGGAUAAUCUGGAUCAAAACUAACCAAAUGCAACUUGAGAAAGGAGAGGAAUUAAUUGACUCCAGGUUACAGUCCAUCAUCAAGGGAAGCAAGGGCAGGAAUUGAAGAAGAAAUUGUGAAGGAACACUGCAAACGGACUUGUUCUCUACAGCUGUAUCUCUCCCUGAUUUCUUACCCAGGACUACAUUCCUAGGGUGUGCACUCACCACCAUGAGUUGGGUCCUGCUACAUCCAUUAAUUCAUCAAGAAAAUGCCCCACAAACACACAAAACAUCAGAUCUGAUGGAGUUGCAAAUUUAGAGUUUCUCUUCUAAGUGAGGCAAUGUGCGUCAUGCCUCUAAUCACGGCACUCUGAUGAGUUCUUAUCCUCAGAUACAAUUACAAUCAUGUCAAAGCCUCCCUGGGAAAGCCACCAUCAUAUUUCCUAGGUUAUUCCAGUUACCUAUAUAUUUACUACAUUCUGUUCUUCUCAAUUUCAAUAAUUCUUCUAGUAAUGAAAGUUCUAGUAUACCUAGGAAGGAAAGAGUAUCUAGGCAGGGUUUGGUCUUCAUUUGCGAUUGUUGGUUGGUUGGUUGGUUGCUUGCUUGCUUGGCUUGGCUUGGUUUUGGUUGGUUUGCUUGGUAUUCCUUGUAAUAAAGAAUAUGGAUAGCACA